rnacentral:rRNA from 1 species
AUGUCGCGGGUGGCUUCAGCGACGAGCCUCUCAUGGAAGCUCUCAGCCACCUGCUUGACAACAAGAUCGAGGGUGUUGGAUUUGUUGCCAUGGCCGGCACUCACAGGGGCAAGUGGUAUGUUGUGUUCAUCGGUAAGGUCCCAGGGGUUUAUAGUUCAUGGAAAGAAGCUAGUGUACAAGUGGCAUCGUAUAGCAACAGCACCCAUAGAGGGUUCAAGAUUAGGCAGGCAGCAGAACAUGCUUACUCCGAGUGGGUGCGAAAGCACGGCAGCAGUGUUGACUGUCGCAAGGUUGGAGGUGUCAAGGUGGAUCGUUAGUUUGGGCUGA